CUGAGCACCCCACUUCCCACACAUGCACACCGUGUAGCCACUACAGGUGACAGCUUGCACCCCACCUCACCCUUGUGCAUCUCUGCCUAUGCUGUCAUUGUCAUCAGAUGUGGAAAAUAAAAGCAUCCAACUGAGGAAUCUGAUGACCCACUAGACAAAUGAGACAUCUGAAGAAGGACAAAUCAUCCAGAUAAAAUGCCCCCAAGCAAAAGAAUAAAUUGGCCUAAUAGUGUAACACACUUCCAAUAGAAUAAAGUCUCAUAAUACUUUGCAAA